UUUCGAAUCAUUCACAAUGGGCGAAAGCCUGAUGGUGCAACGCCGCGUGGAGGAUGACGGCCUUCGGGUUGUAAACUCCUGUCAUCGGGGAACAACAAGCAGGUUCAUAGCCUGCCCUGAGUUAACCCGAAGAGGAAGAGGUGGCUAACUCCGUGCCAGCAGCCGCGGUAAUACGGAGACCUCGAGCGUUACUCGGAUUCACUGGGCGUAAAGGGUGCGUAGGCGGUCGCGUGUGUCAGGUGUGAAAUCCCGGGGCUCAACCCCGGAACUGCGCUUGAAACUACGCGACUUGAGUCUCGGAGAGGGUAGUGGAAUUUCGGGUGUAGCGGUGAAAUGCGUAGAUAUCCGAAGGAACACCAGUGGCGAAGGCGACUACCUGGACGAGUACUGACGCUGAGGCACGAAAGCGUGGGUAGCGAAAGGG
rnacentral:rRNA from 1 species